UGCCAGCCGCCGCGGUAAUACGGAGGGUGCAAGCGUUAAUCGGAAUUACUGGGCGUAAAGCGCGCGUAGGCGGUUGUCUAAGCUAGAUGUGAAAGCCCCGGGCUCAACCUGGGAACUGCAUUCGAUACUGGCAGACUAGAGUAUAGAAGAGGCAAGUGGAAUUCCGGGUGUAGCGGUGAAAUGCGUAGAUAUCCGGAGGAACAUCAGUGGCGAAGGCGACUUGCUGGUCUAAUACUGACGCUGAGGUACGGAAGCGUGGGUAGCCAACAGGAUUAGAUA
rnacentral:rRNA from 1 species